UACGGAGGGGGCUAGCGUUGCUCGGAAUGACUGGGCGUAAAGGGCGCGUAGGCGGCUUGCUCAGUCAGGCGUGAAAUUCCUGGGCUCAACCUGGGGACUGCGCUUGAGACGUGUGGGCUUGAGUGGGGAAGAGGGUCGUGGAAUUCCCAGUGUAGCGGUGAAAUGCGUAGAUAUCAGGAGGAACACCUGUGGCGAAAGCGGCUCACUGGACCACAACUGACGCUGAGGCGCGAAAGCUAGGGGAGCAAACAGG
rnacentral:rRNA from 1 species